AACGUAGGGGACAAGCGUUAUCCGGAUUUACUGGGCGUAAAGGGCGCGUAGGCGGUCAGCACAAGUCAGUUGUGAAAUCUCCGGGCUUAACUCGGAACGGUCAACUGAUACUGUGCGACUAGAGUGCAGAAGGGGCAACUGGAAUUCUCGGUGUAGCGGUGAAAUGCGUAGAUAUCGAGAGGAACACCUGCGGCGAAGGCGGGUUGCUGGGCUGACACUGACGCUGAGGCGCGAAAGCCAGGGGAGCGAACGGG
rnacentral:rRNA from 1 species